rnacentral:rRNA from 1 species
AUGGGUUGGUUCAGGUCGGCCAUUGAUGCUGCUGGCCUGAAGGAGAUAAAGUGCAAAAAUCGCCGCUACACCUGGAGCAACGAACGUCAAGAUCCCACCCUUGUCAACAUUGACAAGUUCUUCUGCAACCAAGCCUGGGAAUCCCUUUUUCACAAUUUUGCAGUGUUGGCGGCUUCUACGGCUACUUCAGACCACUGCCCUCUGAUCUUAGCCGACACAAGUGCCCCGCCACGCCGUGCGAGCUUUAGAUUUGAGAGCUUCUGGCCUCGCUUCCCUCGUUUCCAUGAAACGGUUACAGCCGCCUGGAAUAGGCCAGUGCAGUCCUCCUGCGCUUUUCAGCGUCUUCACACCAAAAUGGAGUGCACGACGCGUGACCUGAAGAUCUGGAGCAAGGCACACUUUAGCGAUGCGAGGCUACAGUUUCAUAUAGCAGCAGAAAUUGUGCUCCGAUUAGAUGUAGCUCAGGAAACCCGGCGUUUGUCUGACGCCGAAUUCAACCUCAGAAAACUCUUGAAGCUACGGCUUCUGGGUUUGGCGGCGAUCGACCGAGCCAGA